GACAGAGGGUGCAAGCGUUGUUCGGAAUUACUGGGCGUAAAGCGCGUGUAGGCGGCUGCGCAAGUCGGAUGUGAAAUCCCAUGGCUCAACCAUGGAAGUGCACCCGAAACUGCGUCGCUAGAGUCCUGGAGAGGAAGGUGGAAUGCUUGGUGUAGAGGUGAAAUUCGUAGAUAUCAAGCGGAACACCGGUGGCGAAGGCGGCCUUCUGGACAGUGACUGACGCUGAGACGCGAAAGCGUGGGGAGCAAACAGG
rnacentral:rRNA from 1 species